rnacentral:sRNA from 1 species
CUUUAACACAAUUUCAAAAUGCACUCUGAGUUGUUUUCUUAGCACCUCUAUGGGCCUUUACAAAGGGCUUCAGCUGAAAGAGAUGCUGACUGAGAUGCCAUACCUUGAUGCUGGUACCGCCAAUAGAAACUCAAAGACCCAAGGACCAGACUGAAUUCUUCACCUGCCUCA